UAAGUGGCGAAGAGGAGACUGCAGCGCCGAUCAGAAAAGGUGCUGCGAAGGUGACAAACGAAACCACACACUCUGUCCUUGAAGCUCGGUGUGGUUUGGGGGCCUUCUACAAGUUCGUGAAAUAGUGUUUCCACAUUCGGCUUUCAUUUUAUUGUCCGCGUACGAACAGUCGUGAGACGUCCACUGAUUCGCAGCCCGUUCUCGAACCAGUGUUAUUCGGGAUAGAAGCGAAGGCGCGGACACGACGGCUGGUCUGCAAGGGCUUCAACUGCCACGCAAACACUCUGCUGCUGGUCGACUUGCUUAGACGCCAGCGUCGCCGCAGGGACCGUGGGUUUACUCGAAAUACGAUUCCGUGGUCGCUGUUCGUACACACGGGAACCACGCCUGUUGCCAUGGAUCGGGAACUGCCACUCGAGUGCUGAUCGCGCAGCUGGAUCGAUACGUCCUCGCCUAUAAACUUUCAGGCGACCCACCAGGUCAUCUCUCGUGUCGCCUACGUCGUCGAUGACAUGCGCAACGCGUGCAUUCCGGGAGUCCCCUCGGUCCCUGGCUGCGCAGCGGCGAGUGGAGCGAUCCAGCAUUAGCGGUGGCCCGCCUUCUUCGUCUGGCAACAGGCGCCGUGCAUCCGACAGGGCUCCAGCUUCGGCGCAGCCAAACACGGCGCGACGCUCCAGUCAGCAGAGCGGGCGUCGGCACGCUCUGCUCAACGGAGCAGCAUCCGCCAUUGCCAGGAUGUGGCAGCACGCGUUCCAGACUUCAGCGACAUGACGGCAUCAGCUUCCGUAGUAUUUUGGGCCAUUCUUCUCUAUAGCAUUCUCAUACACCUUAGUCGGCGUAGUUGCUGGGACGUCCACAGAUACCGUUCUCCAUUCCGUGGCCUGCCACGCAAUGCUCUGCGACCCCAAGGUUCACUAACCUACAUGACUCGCAAGUCAAUGUUCACAGCCCAUCAGGGUUGUCUUCCUGUCAACAGCCACAGUUUGGCAUCCACGCAUGCUCUAUCAUUUUUUUUUUAUUGUUGAGUUACAUGGCUUGUAUCAUUUUGCAUCAAAAUAUCUGUGGUGAAGCAGCAGAGGAAAGUACCUGACCUAACUCAUCCAUCAACCACCUGACGUCCCUGCUGACGGCAUAUUCAACAUGCAUUUUCUUAUGAUUUUAAUUUUUAAUAAACUGGCAUUGUUCACUAUCAA